CCUACGGGAGGCAGCAGUGAGGAAUAUUGGUCAAUGGCCGGAAGGCUGAACCAGCCAUGCCGCGUGAAGGUCAGUGCCCUAUGGGCGUUAAACUUCUUUUGUGCGGGAGCAAUACUGGUCACGUGUGGCCAGACGAGAGUACCGUACGAAUAAGCAUCGGCUAACUCCGUGCCAGCAGCCGCGGUAAUACGGGGGAUGCAAGCGUUAUCCGGAUUUAUUGGGUUUAAAGGGUGCGUAGGCUGUGAGGUAAGUCAGCGGUGAAAUGCCCCCGCUCAACGGGGUGAAGUGCCAUUGAUACUGCCUGGCUGGAAUGCGGAUGCCGUGGGAGGAAUGUGUGGUGUAGCGGUGAAAUGCAUAGAUAUCACACAGAACACCGAUUGCGAAGGCAUCUCACGAAGCCGCGAUUGACGCUGAUGCACGAAAGCGUGGGUAUCAAACAGGAUUACAUACCCUUGUAGUC
rnacentral:rRNA from 1 species